rnacentral:lncRNA from 1 species
UUUUAGUGCCUAAUAACUUUUCUUUAAUUAAAAAAAUGAUGUUUUACAUGAAAGAUAGAUCUUUUCUUUAACGUAUAAUGGAUGCACAUUUGGUAGAAAAUGGAAUGUUUUACCUUAUAUAUUUAUUAGCUCUGGAUAUUUAGGUUACUGGUUCAUUUCAAAGACAUUUCUUUUUAUUGUGAUGAAAACAUUCAAAAUGUUAUAAUAUGUAUUAAUAAAUUUUGUGCUAUGACAGUUUAAGAUAUGUAUAAAAUUCUUUAAUUGUUCUCUCCUGGCCAACUUUAUUUCCUCUUGCCUGUGCUGUAUCCCUUUCUGUUAUAAUUUUCUCUUUCAAUAUUUAUGAUACUAGUUCCUGUUUGAACUAUGUGAUUGGUUCUGAGUCGUUCACAUGCUUGGAACACUGUUUUUACAUAUCCUUAAAAAUAGAAUAGAAAAAAGUAAUCCUUAUAAACUAUUGACCUUAUGGGAUUCACCAGACAAUCUGUUGUUCAAUUUUAAUAUUCAAAGGCAAAGGAGAUUAAAAACUUUUAUUCUAGGCAUUAGAAAUAUACUCAAAUAGACUUCCAUUAUCAUCACGUCAGUAAUGUAAAAACAAAAAAAAAAAAAAACAAACAAAAAAAAAAAACAAAAAAGGAGAUUGAAAUAUUCAAUGCAGGGAGGAAGAAAACAAUUGCUUAUGAUUCCAAUGACUAUCCACAAUUUAUAUCACAUGCACAAAAUGUUGAAUUUAAAGAUAAAGGAGAGUACAACUUUUUUAAUUUAAAGAAAAUUAAUACAAAGUUAGAUAUUUGUAUGUUGAGGGUUUUUUUUUCUUCCCUUCAUUUUGUCUAAAUAAUUUAAAUAAAAUACUGUCUGUCUAUAUUUUCCAUGAAAGUUUAAUACAGUAAACUGUGCAUGCUUAUUAAAUAGGGAAGCAAAUGACAGUACAGAUAUAUAUUUGAAAUACUUAGCUGUGUUCUCCAAGAGAUGGCCUGUAAACUGAUGGCCUUCUGAAAACAGAUUGCCUUUAUCUUCAGUCAUCUUUGGCAUCCCAGCCCCGCCCAUGUCUAGGAGAUCAUAGUGAGUGAAGCUCCUCCUCAGGCUUGACUGUCACUCAAGGCCUCUUGCUCACAGCGACAGCUGUUCAAGUCUAUUGAUGCACUAUUGACAUCCCAUGGCCAUCUGCUGGUGACAGAGAAAGUAUCAAUGAUUUAUCUUUUAAAUGCCAUUCACAAUAAAAGUGUUUUCAUUCAAAUCAAUCAUUUUUUACGUUUAGAACAUAAAGAGAUCCCCUUGUUGAGAAUACAAAUUUUAUACUAAGUUAUAUAUCAUUUUGUUUCAAGUGCCUGUAACUCCACAGGAGCAAAACAGAAUAUCAUUUAAAAAAAAAAAGGCACCUGUGGUUACUUUGGAUAAGAUGAGAUUUAUCUCUGAAUAUCCAAUGCAUCAAGGAAUAAAUUAAAGUGAAUUAAAUAGUAUAUUUGCAAAAUGGAGAGACAGAGACAGAAACAGACGCAGAGAGACAGAGACAUGCCUUUCGCAAGGAAACUAACAAUUUAACUUAAAUAUAUAUUGAUUUUAGGCAUUUCAAUUUAAAAUAACUCUGAACCUUGGGCUGUACAGAUUUUUUUUUUGCCUUACCCAGCAUUUUAAAAUCAAAUCUCGGGUGUUCUUCCUCUGUGCUUGCAUAUUUCAUAGUGAAAUAACAUUAUCCUGUCUCUAAAGAGUAUACAGUACAAAGAUUCCAGUUACUGAGUACACUUCCCUCUUUUUGAUGGCAAUGGAGAACUGACUUACUUCAUAGAUCUUAACACUAUUUGUUUUUACUAAACAACAGUCUUGUCCAAGUUGGUGCCUCAGCCCUGCCAAACAGGAAGGAGUAAUGUGAGGCCAACUUUCCACAGGAGAUGUCAGAACGAUGCCCAAUUAACGAGUUGUAGAAUGUGCCAUAUGCAGAAACAUGCUACACUGGGGAUGGAUAUGGACCCGAAGAUUCAGGUGCUGCUCCAGAGUGGGCAUCUAAAGACAUGUGGGAUGUGCAUGAGGACUGAGUCAGGAAUAACACAGUGUUAGCUUAUACCACAAGGUCGACACAGCAAUCUCUAUUUUGGACAUGCUGGUUUCAAGGUAUCUCGGGGGAACAAAGAUAAGAUGCCUGAGGUUUGAAGGAUUGUGUGUUGUGUAUAGAAGCCAAAUGGUAAUGGUUUGACUCACAAAAGAGAGAACCAUUGCACGUCUUAAGAGAAUCUGACUAAGCAGAAAUGAGUGAGCCCGCUAAAGAAGGGUCUGCCCUGCGCUCCUGGAUUUGUUUUGUUGUGAAAUUACACAGGAACAAAAACCAGGAGGAAGGGAUAGGUUGUGUAUGAACGUGAAAAGUGCAUGCUUUUGAACACACAAAACCAGAAUUGAUAAGGGAAGAAUUCAAAGGAACUCUAAAGUGAUGGGAAACUUGGGGAUAACUCAGGGAUGAUAUGGUUGGUGAUCAUGAGCAGGUAGUUAAAAUCAACUUC